rnacentral:rRNA from 1 species
UACGGAGGGGCGAGCGUUAUUCGGAAUUAUUGGGCGUAAAGGGCGCGUAGGCGGCCCGGUAAGUCAAAGGUGAAAUCCCUCGGCUCAACUGAGGAACUGCCUUUGAAACUGUCGGGCUUGAGGCCGGGGAGGGGGUAGCGGAAUUCCCAGUGUAGCGGUGAAAUGCGUAGAUACUGGGAGGAACACCAGUGGCGAAGGCGGCUACCUGGACCGGUUCUGACGCUGAUGCGCGAAAGCGUGGGUAGCAAACAGG